rnacentral:rRNA from 1 species
UACGUAGGGUGCGAGCGUUGUCCGGAAUUACUGGGCGUAAAGAGCUCGUAGGUGGUUUGUCGCGUUGUCCGUGAAAACUCACAGCUUAACUGUGGGCGUGCGGGCGAUACGGGCAGACUGGAGUACUGCAGGGGAGACUGGGAUUCCUGGUGUAGCGGUGGAAUGCGCAGAUAUCAGGAGGAACACCGGUGGCGAAGGCGGGUCUCUGGGCAGUAACUGACGCUGAGGAGCGAAAGCGUGGGGAGCGAACAGG